rnacentral:rRNA from 1 species
GCGGCAAAAGCUCAAAUUUGAAAUCUGGUACCUUCGGUGCCCGAGUUGUAAUUUGGAGAGGGCAACUUUGGGGCCGUUCCUUGUCUAUGUUCCUUGGAACAGGACGUCAUAGAGGGUGAGAAUCCCGUGUGGCGAGGAGUGCGGUUCUUUGUAAAGUGCCUUCGAAGAGUCGAGUUGUUUGGGAAUGCAGCUCUAAGUGGGUGGUAAAUUCCAUCUAAAGCUAAAUAUUGGCGAGAGACCGAUAGCGAACAAGUACAGUGAUGGAAAGAUGAAAAGAACUUUGAAAAGAGAGUGAAAAAGUACGUGAAAUUGUUGAAAGGGAAGGGCAUUUGAUCAGACAUGGUGUUUUGUGCCCUCUGCUCCUUGUGGGUAGGGGAAUCUCGCAUUUCACUGGGCCAGCAUCAGUUUUGGUGGCAGGAUAAAUCCAUAGGAAUGUAGCUUGCCUCGGUAAGUAUUAUAGCCUGUGGGAAUACUGCCAGCUGGGACUGAGGACUGCGACGUAAGUCAAGGAUGCUGGCAUAAUGGUUAUAUGCCGCCCGUCUUG